rnacentral:rRNA from 1 species
UACGUAGGGUGCGAGCGUUAAUCGGAAUUACUGGGCGUAAAGAGCUCGUAGGCGGUUUGUCGCGUCUGCUGUGAAAACUCGGGGCUUAACCCCGGGCCUGCAGUGGGUACGGGCAGACUAGAGUGCGGUAGGGGAGACUGGAAUUCCUGGUGUAGCGGUGAAAUGCGCAGAUAUCAGGAGGAACACCGGUGGCGAAGGCGGGUCUCUGGGCCGUAACUGACGCUGAGGAGCGAAAGCGUGGGGAGCGAACAGG